CAACAGGGAUUGCCCUAGUAACGGCGAGUGAAGCGGCAACAGCUCAAAUUUGAAAUCUGGCUCUCGGGCCCGAGUUGUAAUUUGUAGAGGAUACUUUUGAUGCGGUGCCUUCCGAGUUCCCUGGAACGGGAUGCCAUAGAGGGUGAGAGCCCCGUCUGGUUGGAUGCCAAAUCUCUGUAAAGUUCCUUCGACGAGUCGAGUAGUUUGGGAAUGCUGCUCUAAAUGGGAGGUAUAUGUCUUCUAAAGCUAAAUACCGGCCAGAGACCGAUAGCGCACAAGUAGAGUGAUCGAAAGAUGAAAAGCACUUUGAAAAGAGAGUUAAAAAGUACGUGAAAUUGUUGAAAGGGAAGCGUUUAUGACCAGACUUGGGCUUGGUUAAUCAUCUGGGGUUCUCCCCAGUGCACUCUUCCAGUCCAGGCCAGCAUCAGUUUUCCCCGGGGGAUAAAGACUUCGGGAAUGUGGCUCUCUUCGGGGAGUGUUAUAGCCCGUUGUGUAAUACCCUGGGGGGGACUGAGGUUCGCGCAUCUGCAAGGAU
rnacentral:rRNA from 1 species